rnacentral:rRNA from 1 species
UACAGAGGGGGCAAGCGUUGUUCGGAAUUACUGGGCGUAAAGGGCGCGUAGGCGGCUCUUCAAGUGACGGGUGAAAUCCCUCGGCUUAACCGAGGAACUGCCUGUCAGACUGGAAGGCUUGAGACCGGGAGAGGUGAGUGGAAUUCCCAGUGUAGCGGUGAAAUGCGUAGAUAUUGGGAGGAACACCAGUGGCGAAGGCGGCUCACUGGACCGGUACUGACGCUGAGGCGCGAAAGCGUGGGGAGCAAACAGG